rnacentral:rRNA from 1 species
UGGGGAAUAUUGGACAAUGGGGGGAACCCUGAUCCAGCCAUGCCGCGUGUGUGAAGAAGGCCUUAUGGUUGUAAAGCACUUUAAGCGAGGAGGAGGCUCUCUUGGUUAAUACCCAAGAUGAGUGGACGUUACUCGCAGAAUAAGCACCGGCUAACUCUGUGCCAGCAGCCGCGGUAAUACAGAGGGUGCGAGCGUUAAUCGGAUUUACUGGGCGUAAAGCGUGCGUAGGCGGCUUUUUAAGUCGGAUGUGAAAUCCCCGAGCUUAACUUGGGAAUUGCAUUCGAUACUGGGAAGCUAGAGUAUGGGAGAGGAUGGUAGAAUUCCAGGUGUAGCGGUGAAAUGCGUAGAGAUCUGGAGGAAUACCGAUGGCGAAGGCAGCCAUCUGGCCUAAUACUGACGCUGAGGUACGAAAGCAUGGGGAGCAAACAGGAUUAGAUACCCUGGUAGUCCAUGCCGUAAACGAUGUCUACUAGCCGUUGGGGCCUUUGAGGCUUUAGUGGCGCAGCUAACGCGAUAA